UUAUUUUUAGCUCACCUGGCCUGAAGGGCCAAGUGAGCUUUUCUCAUCACUUGGCGUCCGUCGUCCGGCGUCGUCCGUCGUCGGCGUAAACUUUCUACAUUUUGAACUUCUUCUAGAGAACCACUGAAUGGAAUGAAACCAAACAUGGCAUGAAUGUUCCUUAUGAGGUGCUGACCAAGUGUUGUUACUUUGUAGCGGAUCCAUCAUCCAAGAUGGCCGCCAGCGGGGGACUUAGUUUAACAUAGGACCCUAUGGGAAAUACAUACAAAUGUCUUCUUUUAGAGAACCACUGAAUAGAAUGAAACCAAACAUGGCAUGAAUGUUUCUUAUGAGGUGCUGACCGAGUGUUGUUACUUUGAAGCUGAUCCAUAAUCCAAGAUGGCCGCCAGCGGGGGACUUAGUUUAACAUAGGACCCUAUGGGAAAUACAUACAAAUGUCUUCUUUUAGAGAACCACUGAAUGGAAUGAAACCAAACAUGGCAUGAAUGUUCCUUAUGAGGUGCUGACCGAGUGUUGUUACUUUGAAGCUGAUCCAUAAUCCAAGAUGGCCGCCAGCGGGGGACUUAGUUUAACAUGGGACCCUAUGGGAAAUACAUACAAAUGUCUUCUUUUAGAGAACCACUGAAUGGAAUGAAACCAAACAUGGCAUGAAUGUUCCUUAUGAGGUGCUGACCAAGUGUUGUUACUAUGAAGCUGAUCCAUAAUCCAAGAUGGCCACCAGCAGGGGACUUAGUUUAACAUUGGACCCUAUGGGAAAUACAUACAAAUGUCUUCUUUUAGAGAACCACUGAAUGGAAUGAAACCAAACAUGGCAUGAAUGUUUCUUAUGAGGUGCUGACCGAGUGUUGUUACUUUGAAGCCGAUCCAUAAUCCAAGAUGGCCGCCAGCGGGGGACUUAGUUUAACAUAGGACCCUACGGGAAAUACAUACAAAUGUCUUCUUUUAGAGAACCACUGAAUGGAAUGAAACCAAACAUGGCAUGAAUGUUCCUUAUGAGGUGCUGACCAAGUGUUGUUACUAUGAAGCUGAUCCAUAAUCCAAGAUGGCCGCCAGCAGGGGACUUAGUUUAACAUUGGACCCUAUAGGAAAUACAUACAAAUGUCUUCUUUUAGAGAACCACUGAAUGGAAUGAAACCAAACAUGGCAUGAAUGUUUCUUAUGAGGUGCUGACCGAGUGUUGUUACUUUGAAGCCGAUCCAUAAUCCAAGAUGGCCGCCAGCGGGGGACUUAGUUUAACAUUGGACCCUAUGGGAAAUACAUACAAAUGUCUUCUUUUAGAGAACCACUGAAUGGAAUGAAACCAAACAUGGCAUGAAUGUUCCUUAUGAGGUGCUGACCGAGUGUUGUUACUUUGAAGCUGAUCCAUAAUCCAAGAUGGCCGCCAGCGGGGGACUUAGUUUAACAUGGGACCCUAUGGGAAAUACAUACAAAUGUCUUCUUUUAGAGAACCACUGCAUGGAAUGAAACCAAACAUGGCAUGAAUGUUUCUUAUGAGGUGCUGACCGAGUGUUGUUACUUUGAAGCCGAUCCAUAAUCCAAGAUGGCCGCCUGCAGGGGACUUAGUUUAACAUGGGACCCUAUGAGAAAUACAUACAAAUGUCUUCUUUUAGAGAACCACUGAAUGGAAUGAAACCAAACAUGGCAUGAAUGUUCCUUAUGAGGUGCUGACCAAGUGUUGUUACUAUGAAGCUGAUCCAUAAUCCAAGAUGGCCGCCAACAGGGGACUUAGUUUAACAUUGGACCCUAUGGGAAAUACAUACAAAUGUCUUCUUUUAGAGAACCACUGAAUGGAAUGAAACCAAACAUGGCAUGAAUGUUUCUUAUGAGGUGCUGACCGAGUGUUGUUACUUUGAAGCCGAUCCAUAAUCCAAGAUGGCCGCCAGCGGGGGACUUAGUUUAACAUAGGACCCUACGGGAAAUACAUACAAAUGUCUUCUUUUAGAGAACCACUGAAUGGAAUGAAACCAAACAUGGCAUGAAUGUUCCUUAUGAGGUGCUGACCAAGUGUUGUUACUAUGAAGCUGAUCCAUAAUCCAAGAUGGCCGCCAGCAGGGGACUUAGUUUAACAUUGGACCCUAUAGGAAAUACAUACAAAUGUCUUCUUUUAGAGAACCACUGAAUGGAAUGAAACCAAACAUGGCAUGAAUGUUUCUUAUGAGGUGCUGACCGAGUGUUGUUACUUUGAAGCCGAUCCAUAAUCCAAGAUGGCCGCCAGCAGGGGACUUAGUUUAACAUUGGACCCUAUGGGAAAUACAUACAAAUGUCUUCUUUUAGAGAACCACUGAAUGGAAUGAAACCAAACAUGGCAUGAAUGUUCCUUAUGAGGUGCUGACCGAGUGUUGUUACUUUGAAGCUGAUCCAUAAUCCAAGAUGGCCGCCAGCGGGGGACUUAGUUUAACAUGGGACCCUAUGGGAAAUACAUACAAAUGUCUUCUUUUAGAGAACCACUGCAUGGAAUGAAACCAAACAUGGCAUGAAUGUUUCUUAUGAGGUGCUGACCAAGUGUUGUUACUAUGAAGCUGAUCCAUAAUCCAAGAUGGCCGCCAGCAGGGGACUUAGUUUAACAUUGGACCCUAUGGGAAAUACAUACAAAUGUCUUCUUUUAGAGAACCACUGAAUGGAAUGAAACCAAACAUGGCAUGAAUGUUUCUUAUGAGGUGCUGACCGAGUGUUGUUACUUUGAAGCCGAUCCAUAAUCCAAGAUGGCCGCCUGCAGGGGACUUAGUUUAACAUGGGACCCUAUGAGAAAUACAUACAAAUGUCUUCUUUUAGAGAACCACUGAAUGGAAUGAAACCAAACAUGGCAUGAAUGUUCCUUAUGAGGUGCUGACCGAGUGUUGUUACAUUGAAGCUGAUCCAUAAUCCAAGAUGGCCGCCAACAGGGGACUUAGUUUAACAUGGGACCCUAUGGGAAAUACAUACAAACGUCUUCUUUUAGAGAACCACUGAAUGGAAUGAAACCAAACAUGGCAAGAAUGUUCCUUAUGAGGUGCUGACCAAGUGUUGUUACUUUGAAGCUGAUCCAUAAUCCAAGAUGGCAGCCAGCGGGGGACUUAGUGUAACAUAGGACCCUAUGAGAAAUACAUACAAAUGUCUUCUUUUAGAGAACCACUGAAUGCAAUGAAACCAAACAUGGCAUGAAUGUUCCUUAUGAGGUGCUGACCAAGUGUUGUUACUAUGAAGCCGAUCCAUAAUCUAAGAUGGCCGCCAGAUGGGGACAAUGUUUAACAAAGGACCCUAUGGACAAUACAUACAAAUGUCUUCUUUUAGAGAACCACAUACUGAAUGGAUUGAAACCAAACAUGGCAUGAAUGUUCCUUAUGAGGUGCUGACUAAGUUUUGUUACUUUGAAGCUGAUCCUUCAUCCAUGAUGGCAGCCAAUGGGGGGACUUCCUUUAACAUAAGACCCUAUGGGAAAUACAUACAAAUGCUUCUUCUAGAGGUGCACUGAAUGGAAUGAAACCAAAACAUGGCAUAAAUGUUUCUUAUGAGGUGCUGAUUAAGUGUUGCUACUUUGUUGCCGAUUUACUGUUCAAGAUGGCCACCAGGAUUUUUUUAUUAAAUUACAGGACCAAUAUUGAACCAAAUUUGGCCUCACUCAUUAUUAGGGUAUCUGUUAUGAUUUUAAUCUAUUUUUACAUGAUUUCCAAAACCAAAGUAGAAUCAGGUGAGCGACACAGGCUCUUGAGAGCCUCUAGUUAUUUAUUUUUGUCAUCAUUUAAAAAUAAUAUUGCUGAAUUUAUUUGAAUAAACUUUUUAAGGUGGGACAAAAAAGGACAAAUAUCUCUCCCUCAACCUUGGAUUUCUGAUUUCUGAUUUUUAUUCAAUACUUAUUUUACAAUGUCAUUUUUAAGAUUCAACAAAAAGCAGGAGGACUUAAAAUUCUUGAAGUGGUAGACAUUAAACAUUUUAACCAGUCUUAACCUAAAUAUUCACCGACAACAAAAGUGUAAACUGAUUAGACAUUAAAUGCCGUGAUGUUGAAAAAGAUGUCAUUUUACAUCACACAGCAAAAUAUGUUAAACCAAAGCACUUUGAGAUUUGAUACUUUUAAUUGGACUAGACAAAAUUUAUAGUUUGCACAAGUUAAAUAACUAAAUUAAGUGUAGCAUUCCUAUCAUGUCAAUCAUUCAAAAGUGAAGUAUUGAUUGGUUCUUAUCUUACAGGGAGGUUGGUAAAGACAGAGGAGAGGUAAAUCUUCCUCUUCAUAUCAAAAUUACACGAAGAGGUAAUAUAUAAAAAUAUCUAAAUAAUAAUUGAAGAGGUUUUUCUUCCUCUUAUUAAUAAAAUUUUAUAAAGGGGAAAGCUUUAAUUAAGGAACAUGAUGUUAAUGUGGCCAAAAGGAUGUAUAUUUUGUUAAUAUUGUUACACAUGUUAAUAAACUUUAUAUAAAAA